GAUAAAUGGAGCUUUAGGAGGAAACUUUGAACUUGUCCUGCAGGCAGAAAAAAAGAAAGAAAGGAAAAAAAGAUUACAAAGAGCAAAAAUCGCUUUGGUGUGCCACAGACAAAAAAGCCCAGCAUGAAUAAUGUGCAGCAAGUCUCAUGAAAGAAUCAUCGCCGGCAAUGAAUUAUUGAUCCAACAGAGAAAUGGUGGGGAUAGCUUUGGGGCCGCUCACAGGCCGUUGGUUGCCUCCUUAUACAGACUGGACCAUCUGCCUCUGGGUGUUGAUUGACAGGACUAGCCAGUGAGAUGCAGUCAUGCCAGCGGCUGAGGGCAGAGGACACUGACUGUGAGAGAGACAGACAUGACCAUCGAGAAAACAGCCUGCUGCUCGUAACUGCCAUGAUUUACUUGUGAAUGGGGGCAGGGAGCUAAAAGUUACAGAUCUAAAGCAUUCGUUUAUGUCUUUUAUGUCCCUCUCGCUGCCUUGAAAUUAACUUGAUGUUUUUUUUUAAUUGAAACAAAUCUUUUUAUCAUUACUUUUCACACAAAUUGUGUUAUUCUAUCAAAUAAAUAAAUAAAUAGUUGAUA